rnacentral:tRNA from 1 species
GUAGCUCAACCGGAUAGAGCAACGGCCUUCUAAGCCGUAGGUUACAGGUUCGAGUCCUGUC